GACGAACGCUGGCGGCGUGCUUAACACAUGCAAGUCGAACGGAAAGGCCCUGCUUUUGUGGGUUGCUCGAGUGGCGAACGGGUGAGUAACACGUGAGUAACCUGCCCUUGACUUUGGGGUAACUUCAGGAAACUGGGGCUAAUACCGCAUAGGAGCUCCUGCUGCAUGGUGGGGGUUGGAAAGUUUCGGCUGUUGUGGAUGGACUCGCGGCUUAUCAGCUUGUUGGUGGGGUAGUGGAUUACCAGGCCUUUGACGGGUAGCCGGCCUGGGAGGGUGGCCGGCCACAAUGGGCCUGCGGUAGGGACCAGAAGGCAACGGGCGGCAGCAGUCGGAAAUCUUGCAGAAUGGGCGGACGCCUGUUGCAGCAACCUCCCGUGCGGAAUGACGGGUUUCGGGUUGUAAACAGAUUUGGAAGGUGAUGAAGACUGAUUGACGGUAACGGGUAAAGAAGCACCGGCUAACUACGUG
rnacentral:rRNA from 1 species